AUCCAGCUAACGAGUCCUAAAUAGGACGAAAUACGCAUCAAACUUGAU
rfam:Schistosoma mansoni strain Puerto Rico chromosome 3, complete genome